CAAUAGCGUAUAUUUAAGUUGUUGCAGUUAAAAAGCUCGUAGUUGGAUUUCGGAUGGGAUUUGCCGGUCCGUCGUUACGAUGUGCACUGGCCAGUCCUAUCUUGUUGUCGGGGACUAGCUCCUUGGAUUCGCUUCCUGGGACUAGGAGCUGACGAGGUUACUUUGAGUAAAUUAGAGUGUUCAAAGCAAGCCUACGCUCUGAAUACAUUAGCAUGGAAUAACACGAUAGGACUCUGGCUUAUCUUGUUGGUCUGUGAGACCAGAGUAAUGAUUAAGAGGGACAGUCGGGGACAUUCGUAUUUCAUUGUCAGAGGUGAAAUUCUUGGAUUUAUGAAAGACGAACUUCUGCGAAAGCAUUUGUCAAGGAUGUUUUCAUUAA
rnacentral:rRNA from 1 species